rnacentral:rRNA from 1 species
GAUGAACGCUGGCGGCGUGCCUAAUACAUGCAAGUCGAGCGAACGGACGCGAAGCUUGCUUUUCUGAUGUUAGCGGCGGACGGGUGAGUAACACGUGGAUAACCUACCUAUAAGACUGGGAUAACUUCGGGAAACCGGCGCUAAUACCGGAUAAUAUUUUGAACCGCAUGGUUCAAAAGUGAAAGACGGUCUUGCUGUCACUUAUAGAUGGAUCCGCGCUGCAUUAGCUAGUUGGUAAGGUAACGGCUUACCAAGGCAACGAUGCAUAGCCGACCUGAGAGGGUGAUCGGGCACACUGGAACUGAGACACGGUCCAGACUCCGACGGUAGGCAGCAGUAGGGAAUCUUCCGCGAUGGGCGAAUGCCUGACGGUGCAACGCCGCGUGAGUGAUGAAGGUCUUCGGAUCGUAAAACGCUGUUAUUAGGGAAGAACAUAUGUGUAAGUAACUGUGCACAUCUUGACGGUACCUAAUCAGAAAGCCACGGCUAACUACGUG